rnacentral:rRNA from 1 species
CAAUAGCGUAUAUUAAAGUUGUUGCAGUUAAAAAGCUCGUAGUUGGAUUUCAGAGUGAGCUCGUCCGGUCGGCCUAAAUGGUCUGAACUGGUUGACUCUCUCUUGCUUGUGGAUCCCGCCCGGAGUUAACUCUUCGGAUGUGGACUUCACAUCGUUUACCUUGAAAAAUUAGAGUGUUCAAAGCAGGCGUAUGCUUGAAUAUAUUAGCAUGGAAUAAUGGAAUAGGACCCUGGUUCUAUUUUGUUGGUUUUGAGGACCAGAGUAAUGAUUAAUAGGGAUAGUUGGGGGUGGCUAGUAUUGGCCGGGCCGACGAGGUGGAAAUUACUUUGGAUUCGGUUCAAGACUAACUUAAUUGCGAAAGACAUUC